AUGGUAACACGGCCUAGCAGUUGGUUUCCGUCGCUGUGGCUGUCUCACACAAAGAUCCUGUGGCUCACCCACCACGCUGACUCAGGGGCAGGGCCACUCACUCUCGCUGGAAAGCACUUAAAAGAUGUCCAGGUCAAAUACAUGCAAGAGUCAGAGUUAGUGAAGCGUUCAGAGGUUUUUGUACAGCUGCUUGCUUUGUUUCUAUCACUGUGGUGGACAUUCGGCACCGGCACGAGACUCGACGUCGGCAGUGUAAGUCGUCCUAAAGUGACCGUCCUGCCGCCGUCCAGUGAAGAGAUUUCCAGCAAGAAGACAGCAACAGUGAUGUGUGUGGCCAGCAAUGGUUUCCCUUCAGACUGGAGUCUGAGCUGGAAAGUGAAUGGGAAGAUGUCAGGAUCUCAGGAGAACAGAGCUGGAGUCCUACAGAAAGACGGCGGUCUGUACAGCUGGAGCAGCAGUCUGACUCUCACUGAACAAGAAUGGAUCAACAGAGACUCAGUGAUCUGUGAGAUCAGUCGGGAAGGUCAGACAGUCACUGGAGAAGUGAAGAAAGAUCUGUGUUCUCAGUAG